GUCCACGCCGUAAACGAUGGGUGCUAGGUGUCGCGGGCUUUGACUCCCGCGGUGCCGUAGCUAACGCAUUAAGCACCCCGCCUGGGAAGUACGGCCGCAAGGCUAAAACUCAAAGGAAUUGACGGGGGCCCGCACAAGCGGUGGAGCAUGUGGUUUAAUUCGACGCAACGCGAAGAACCUUACCUGGGCUAGAAAAUGCUGGAACCUGGGAGAAGUCUCGGGGUGCCCUUCGGGGAGCCAGUAGUUAGGUGCUGCAUGGCUGUCGU
rnacentral:rRNA from 1 species